GCGGACGUGGUGAAAUUGGUAGACACACCAGGUUUAGGUUCUGGCGCCGUGAGGUGUGAGAGUUCGAGUCUCUCCGUCCGCACCA
rnacentral:tRNA from 5 species